rnacentral:lncRNA from 1 species
UUGUACCCUUUGUGAGGACCCCCCGAAGGCUGCCGUGCCCGGCAGAGUCUCGUUUAGCUGUGAAUUCAGCAACGGUAAAUGGCGAGAAUUUGAAAUGGGAUAGAAGUAGUAUGUAUUAAUACGUUCGCCAUUGGCGAAUUUCGCGAAGUUGACUGACGGCUGGGCGGCGCAAAAAUAUCCAACAGCAAUCUCGGAGAACCGAGCGACGCCGCCAGAUAAAAUACGUUGACUGAAAAACACUCGCACUCGACGGAAAUCCGCCUACCUUCGGCACAUCCGACCUUGCUCCGAUUUCCUCCAUCGAGCCCGAAAACAGGUCAUCGGUUUACCUCAAAGUACGGAAAGUUGGAGUAGCGUGAUUCCUAAAUUCAGCCUGUCACAGAAUUUAUAUAAUAUAAUCAGGCGCCAAGGAAUAUUGGCAGCUGGCGAUUGACGCAACAACGCAUUGACGCACUGAAUUUCCGAUAAUUGCUUCCCGUUCCACCUAAAAUGAUAAUUGAAUCUGAUGCUCCGGAGCGACCAGGCACAGCCCACUAUCAACCGAGUUGAGAGUAUCAAUUUGUUUAUGGAGAAGCCGCGAGUGCAGUGUAGGAGGAGGAAGUUAAGGACGAACAGAAGGAUGUCUCGGAUUCUGCGAAAAUAGAUUACAUUUCACAAAUAGUUCAAAGGUCGAUCCGAUCUUCCAGCGGUUUGUCAGAUUCCGCGUCGAAUCUAUAAAAUAUAUAUUGUUAGAAUUUUCCAACGACUUCAAUUCGAUCAUGUGGAUUUUUUAUUCGUUUCUUAACGGAUUUUUGUUUCACGUGAGAAAUUUCUUUUUGAU